CGGGGCGUAGCGCAGCCCGGUUAGCGCGCCUGCCUUGGGAGCAGGAGGUCGCUGGUUCAAAUCCAGUCGCCCCGACCA
rnacentral:tRNA from 1 species